GGGCUCGUAGUCGAAUGGUAAGACGCUACCUUCGCAAGGUAGAGACUCCGGGUCCGAUUCCCGGCGAGUCCAC
rnacentral:tRNA from 1 species